rnacentral:rRNA from 1 species
GACGAACGCUGGCGGCGUGCUUAACACAUGCAAGUCGAACGGAAAGGCCCUGCUUUUGUGGGGUGCUCGAGUGGCGAACGGGUGAGUAACACGUGAGUAACCUGCCCUUGACUUUGGGAUAACUUCAGGAAACUGGGGCUAAUACCGGAUAGGAGCUCCUGCUGCAUGGUGGGGGUUGGAAAGUUUCGGCGGUUGGGGAUGGACUCGCGGCUUAUCAGCUUGUUGGUGGGGUAGUGGCUUACCAAGGCUUUGACGGGUAACCGGCCUGAGAGGGUGACCGGCCACAUUGGGACUGAGAUACGGCCCAGACUCCUACGGGAGGCAGCAGUGGGGAAUAUUGCACAAUGGGUGGAAGCCUGAUGCAGCAACGCCGUGUGCGGGAUGACGGCCUUCGGGUUGUAAACCGCUUUCGCUCAUGACGAAGCUUUGUGUGACGGUAGUGGGUAAAGAAGCACCGGCUAACUACGUG